CACAUUAACAUCCACUCCUUUUCUUCCAAGUGAAGGAACACAUUACACACAACUCUCUCCACUCUCCAAUAACCUUGUCAAUUGUUAGAUGCAAAAAAUGGAGUAUAAAUGGAUUGUACCAUUUACAAUAUUGGCAUUUAUAUUAGUGCUAGUGAAUUGUGACAACUCUUAUUACCGUCUUCGUUAUGUUCCGAAGCCCUGUACUCUCUGCAACACACGUGGAGGUCCAUGCUGUAUGUUGAUGGAGGAAGGCGAAGGAAUAUGCUGCAGCGGGAGUGUUAGUCAGAACGUCAAGUAUACCCAGUUUAACUCUAUAACAGAACGUGCUGUCGCUUCAAGGGGUCCGGUCUUUAACAGAACUUAUCAAAAGCCGUCGCCUUGGUCAAUAGAGUUCUGGAACUACACGUCUUUUAUCGCUGCCGCAGCUCAGUACCAGCCUUAUGGCUUUGGUACUACCUACAAGGACGGGGGGAAGGUUUCCCUUGGAAAAAUGGAAGUCGCAGCCUUACUUGCACAUAUCGGCAGCAAAGUAACCUGUGACGACAAUGUGUCCGUUUAUGAACGUGUAACUACUUGCGGUUUAUGCAAUUACAAGGAAAAGAAUACCAGCUUUCCUUAUUGUGAUGAGAACUACAAAGACAAUUAUCCAUGUGCACCUGGAGUUGCAUAUUAUGGUCGGGGUGCUCUACCUAUCUACUGGAACUACAAUUAUGGAGAAGCCACUAAAGAUCUGAACGUGGAUUUGUUAAAACAUCCAGAAUACAUAGAAAAUAAUGCUACCUUGGCCUUCUUGGUUGCAAUUUGGAGGUGGAUGACGCCAAUAAAAGAAAAUCAACCUUCAGCACACGAUGUCUUUAUUGGCAACUGGAAACCCACCGAGAAUGAGAAUUUGGCCAAUAGAGUUCCAGGUUUCGGUACUACAAUGAAUGUGCUCUAUGGAGAUCUUGUUUGUGGUAAAGGUAAUAAUGAGACGUCCAUGAACAACAUCAUCGAUUAUUACCGACAUUACCUUGAUCGUAUAGGUGUUAACCCAAACGAAGCUGGGCCUCAAGAAUUGCUUAGUUGUGCUGACCAGGUUCCUUUCAAUCCAUCUGUUGCCUUACCUCCUUGAGCUUUGUUUGGUGUUGAUGGAUAGUCCAUACUUUAUUGAACCAAUCCUCUUUUAAAGGUAAUGCAUUAAUAAAUUUUUAAGAACCUAUCAAGUAGCAAGAAGGAGAUGUUGAAAGACGAACAGGGAAUAAGAAUUUAUAUAAACCAUAUGUGUGUCAUGUUAUGCUGAACUUGCUUAGAGGAUAAGAGAUUGCCUAGUUUUGUGUGACUCUUAGGAUAUACUUUUGUUUUCAAUUUCCUAAUUAAUAUUGUGUAAUUAGUUAGUGUGGAUUGUAUAUGAACCUCUCUAUGUUUGUAUUA